ensembl:lncRNA
AAAACACUCCUUGAGUAAAAGUCUAAAAGUAUUUGGUUUUAAAUAUACUUAUUAAGUAUCAAAAGUACAUGUAAUUGCUAAAAUAUAUCAAAAGUAAAAGUAUAAAUCAUUUCACAUUCUUCAUAGUAAGCAAACCAUUUUUGUAUUUAAAUGUACAGCUAGCCAGGGGAACACACCGACACUCAGACAUUUUACAAAUGAAGCAUGUGUGUUUAGUGAGUUCGUCAGAUUAGAGGCAGUAGGGAUGACCAGGGAUGUUCUCUGUUUAGUGAGUUCGUCAGAUUAGAGGCAGUAGGGAUGACCAGGGAUGUUCUCUGUUUAGUGAGUUCGUCAGAUUAGAGGCAGUAGGGAUGACCAGGGAUGUUCUCUGUUUAGUGAGUCCUCCAGAUCAGAGGCAGCAGGGAUGACCAGGGAUGUUCUCUGUUUAGUGAGUCCUCCAGAUCAGAGGCAGUAGGGAUGACCAGGGAUGUUCUCUGUUUAGUGAGUCCUCCAGAUCAGAGGCAGCAGGGAUGACCAGGGAUGUUCUCUGUUUAGUGAGUCCUCCAGAUCAGAGGCAGUAGGGAUGACCAGGGAUGUUCUCUGUUUAGUGAGUCCUCCAGAUCAGAGGCAGCAGGGAUGACCAGGGAUGUUCUCUGUUUAGUGAGUCGGCCAGAUCAGAGGCAGUAGGGAUGACCAGGGAUGUUCUCUGUUUAGUGAGUCCUCCAGAUCAGAGGCAGCAGGGAUGACCAGGGAUGUUCUCUGUUUAGUGAGUCCUCCAGAUCAGAGGCAGUAGGGAUGACCAGGGAUGUUCUCUGUUUAGUGAGUCCUCCAGAUCAGAGGUAGUAGGGAUGACCAGGGAUGUUCUCUGUUUAUUGAGUCCUCCAGAUCAGAGGCAGUAGGGAUGACCAGGGAUGUUCUCUGUUUAUUGAGUCCUCCAGAUCAGAGGCAGUAGGGAUGACCAGGGAUGUUCUCUGUUUAGUGAGUCCUCCAGAUCAGAGGCAGUAGGGAUGACCAGGGAUGUUCUCUGUUUAGUGAGUCCUCCAGAUCAGAGGCAGUAGGGAUGACCAGGGAUGUUCUCUGUUUAGUGAGUUCGUCAGAUUAGAGGCAGUAGGGACGACCAGGGAUGUUCUCUGUUUAGUGAGUCCUCCAGAUCAGAGGUAGUAGUGAUGACCAGGGAUGUUCUCUGUUUAGUGAGUCCUCCAGAUCAGAGGCAGUAGGGAUGACCAGGGAUGUUCUCUGUUUAGUGAGUCCUCCAGAUCAGAGGCAGCAGGGAUGACCAGGGAUGUUCUCUCGAUAAGUGUGUGAAUUGCACCAUUUCCUCUUUUCCUGCCAAGCAUUCAAAAUGUAACAAGUACUUUUUGGGUGUCAGCGAAAAUGGAUGGAGUAAAAAGUACAUUUAUUUUUUUAGGAAUGCAGUAAAGUAAAAAUUGUCAAACAUAUAAUUAGUAAAGUACAGAUACCCCAAAAAAACAUUUAAGUAGUACUUUUUAAAGUGUUUUUAAUGAAGUACUUUACAACACUGUAACCUAAGCUUUUUUGUGUGUAUGGAACAUUUUUUGGGAUCGUUUAUUUCAGCUCAUGAAAACAUACGAGCAAAACAUUUACAUGUUGCGUUUAUAUUUCUAGUUCAAUAUAGAAUGAUUCACCUUUCUGGUUUUAUGGUUACAACGUCUGUGGCGCACAAUGCAAUGCAACUUCUGGAGAUGUUUGAAUGUGAUCUGAUCUGUGGUUCUGAUUAUGUUUAUAAAACAGGCCUAUUGGGGAGCAGUAUAACUGUGGACAUUCUCCCAUUCUCUUUAUGUUGGAUCUUUGUCCUGCUACUGUGGAAAGUACGGACGUCCAUAGUCUGCGUUGUUUUAAUAUUACAUGGCCACGGGGAGAAAUGAUGGUGCCUGUAAGUGUGACACAGCCUAUUUUUAAAACAAAUAGUUUUAAUUUGAUUAGAAUCUUGCUUAUUGACAAUGUUUGGAGUGUCCAUGUGCAGCCAUAAUGUAAUGUACAGUAGGCAUUGCCCCUAUAUCUGUCACACCCUGAUCUGUUUCACCUGUCUUUGUGAUUGUCUCCACCUCCCUCCAGGUGUUGCCCAUCUUCCCCAUUAUCCCCUGUGUAUUUAUACCUGUGUUCUCUGUUUGUUUGUCUGUUGCCAGUUCGUUUUGUUUUGUCAAGACUACCAGCGGGUUUUCCCUCUGCUCCUGUCUCUCGAUUGUUCCUGUUUCCUAGUUUUCCCAUGUUGACCACCCUGACCAAGAGACUGCCUGCCGUACUGUACCUUUACUAUGUGGAUUACUGACCUCUGCCUGCCCUGACCAAGAGACUGCCUGUCGUACUGUACCUUUACUAUGUGGAUUACUGACCUCUGCCUGCCCUUGACCUGCCUUUUGCCUGACCCUGUUCG